UGGCUAGGUAGCUCAGCAGGUUAGAGCACGUGACUCAUAAUCACGGGGUCGGGGGUUCGAGUCCCCCCCUCGCCACCA
rnacentral:tRNA from 1 species